rfam:Jatropha curcas cultivar GZQX0401 scaffold74_21, whole genome shotgun sequence.
AGGAUUCCUACAGGAGCGACCUGAGAUCACAUGUGGACACCCUCACAUAUAACCCUUAUCUUCCAGUGGUUUAUAAUUCUGUGUUCCUAUGUGUUCUCAGGUCGCCCCUGCCGGGCUUUC